UACAGAGGUCUCAAGCGUUGUUCGGAUUCACUGGGCGUAAAGGGUGCGUAGGUGGUGAGGUAAGUCGGAUGUGAAAUCUCCGAGCUCAACUCGGAAAUGGCAUUGGAAACUACCUUGCUCGAGGGUUGGAGGGGGGACUGGAAUACUUGGUGUAGCAGUGAAAUGCGUAGAUAUCAAGUGGAACACCAGUGGCGAAGGCGAGUCCCUGGACAACUCCUGACACUGAGGCACGAAAGCUAGGGGAGCAAACAGG
rnacentral:rRNA from 1 species